rnacentral:rRNA from 1 species
UACGUAGGGGGCAAGCGUUGUCCGGAUUUAUUGGGCGUAAAGAGCGUGUAGGCGGCUUGGUAGGUCCGCUGUGAAAACUCGAGGCUCAACCUCGAGAUGUCGGCGGAAACCACUUGGCUAGAGUCCGGAAGAGGAGAGUGGAAUUCCCAGUGUAGCGGUGAAAUGCGUAGAUAUUGGGAGGAACACCAGUGGCGAAGGCGGCUCACUGGACCGGUACUGACGCUGAUGCGCGAAAGCGUGGGGAGCAAACAGG